rnacentral:lncRNA from 1 species
CUUUUGUGUGUAACCUCCUAAAAAAACAAUAUACACUGUAUGUAAUAUACAUAUAAGCACUGACCUGUCCCCUGUCUGUAUUGCUCAGUGUGAUCGAAGGCCCCAAGUCUGAGAGGCGGAACACACAAUGCAAAAGAAUGCCCGGGUCGGGGACAGCCAGAGGGACAACGUAUAGGUUUUCACGUAUUCAGACGUUCCUGAGUUCUGGACAUACCAUAUUUUCCAGAAUACAUUGACAAGGGAUCAGGUGGCACAUGCAAUGUAAGAUCUCCAGUUUUGCAGCAUUCAAGUACAAAUACGUGACAACCACAACAUUGUGAGUGCCAAAAUGGCAAAGACCUUCUCAUAUUGAAGACAAGAUGUCGUUCAGGCCCUUCCUGUGAAGGACUUCAAAGAAAGAUGGCCAGCCCUGUUUGAGCCCACUCAGAUUAAGGAAGAGUUCAGAAGAAUUACAACUGUUGCUCUUGAGUCCACCUUUAUCCAGAAGCUGGACGAAUAUACACCAAAACUAUUGGACUUGUUUAAGUCAAAACGAGGUGCUGUAAAGUGCAACACCAUCCAGGAAAGAAGAGACAGUGUGAUCCGUGGCCUGAUCAUAUACCUUGGUGAGAGGUUUGAAGACCUUAUUACAGAAUACAAGGAUGCUAACGACGCCAUGAUCCGAGAGGACCUCGUUCAGCAUGUGAUGAAGGUGUUCACUGUGAAGGAUCUGCACCAGAAUAUAGAGCAUGUGAUCUACAAUCGAAGGAGCAGAGGUCCUGGCAGGUAUUUGCAGUGUUACAGUCAUGUAACAGGUACCCAAAAUAACUGAAAUAAGGUACCCAAAAGAACUGAAAUAUACCUUUGAGGUGUUCCAAAAAGUAUUCUUAGAACUUGAUGAUCUCAGGACCUUUCCACGGUUCCAAGCUCUAAAGAUGAAGUUACUUGUUUUCAGAGAUAUCUAUGAGAACUCUCAAAGGGCCACUCACAAACUGUGGUCUAAACCCUACUCAGUAAGCUGAUAAGCUAGUUGCUAGGUGGUAUAGGAGCUACAGUUUACAUGAUGUUCUUUUUCAAGUGAAGUCAUAAGAGACAUUGUUAAUUCCUGGUUAAAAAAACUGCUUUGUUUUAAAAGUUACUUCAUAUGCACUAGUGAAUUUCUGAGAUUAUUUGUAGUCAGGUGCAAGCUAUCUGGAUGCAACUUUACCUAAGGAGGCAAGGUGGAGUUGUACCCAGAAUGCUUAUACCUGUCAAAAUAAUAUGUCCAUAUGGGCUUCACUAGUGCAAAUGGAGUCAGGUUUAAGGGACAAUUUGGCAUAUAUUUUGUAACAAUAUGUGCAAUGUAUGUUUUGAAAAGCCAUGUUUUGAUUAAUCUAAAACAGUUUGAAUGAGGAGGUAUUUGAGCUAAAGUUCAUAUUGUGCUUUGUGUAAAGUCUAUUAAGAUAAAUCGUUAAUUUACGUUUCUGUUAAAAUAUCGCUUUGAUGUUAAGGGGCACACAGACCAGGGAAUUCUUGCUAAAAUGUACAAGAUGUGAGGUCUAAGUGCUAAUCCCAAACUAUCACCUAAACUUUAUGCAGCUGUGAAGAUCUGAAAUGAUUUGUAGUCAGGUGCAAGCUAUCUGGAUGUUAUACCCAGAAUGCUUACAGAUUACAAAAUAAUGAGCUCCACAAAUGCUUAAGGAGUAGGGUUUAAUUUGAGAUUGAAGUUUGAAGAAAACCUUUAUUCAAAAUAAAGUUGUUGAAGUUUGAAGUUGAACACUGUUGUUUCUUUUUGCAUAUUCCCUUCUAUAGAAAAAAAUAAAAAAACGUAAAUUAUCCCAAGUAUAUUGAGGUAACUAUUUGCAUCAGCUUUUUAAGUAUAGUUGUGAGUAUAUAUUUGAGUAGUAGGAACCCAAUUUAAAUACAUUUUACUAACCUGAGUACCAUAAGUAACUGAGCAAAAAACAUUUGUAGAUUAAACAUAGAAUAUAAAUUACGGUACUGAGUAAAUUCAGCAAAUGAAACUUACAAUAUUAGUUCAGUAACUGAUUACAUUAAGUAUAUCAAACGUAUAACAUUAGUUCUGGGACUUGAAGGACUUAAGCAGGUCAAAAAAAAAAACUGAUGAUCCUGAUAAAAUUAAGUUGAAUGAAAGGAAUUUUUGAGAUCCUGUUAGUUGUUUGCACUUAAAAUAUUUGAGUUUGUAAUGUACUAAAAGCGAAGUAUAUUAUACUUAAAUGAUCCUCCUUGUUGGAUUUACUUAAAAGACCGAUGCAAAUAAUGACCAAAUUUUUUGGAGGAAAAGGGGCACAAUAUUUUUUACAGUGCAAUGAUAACUCUCAUCACGAGUUCCCAUGAGAGCGAGAAAGAGAGAGACAUUUUUACACAUGCCUCCAAGCAUCCCAGUUCUCCUGAACUCAUAGCUAUCUGAACUUGGUUAUCUGGUGCAUCUAAUCCUAUUAGCACUCAC